GCUACCGCAUUAUGAUAGGGCAGUGAAUGUACUGAUCAAGGCGUAUGUUGUCUUCAGAUAUCACUUGGGAAAUUCCUCCCACACAAAUGCCAAAGCUGAAGGAUUAGCUAGACUUUUACAAGAUGGACAUUUGAUCAUGUUCAUUCUGACUUUGAAGCGAGUGAUAGAAGUGGCAAUGAAAUUAUCACUGUAUCUCCAGGGAAGUGCCUUAUCACUUGCAGAUGCUUAUCAGAGAGUGAGUGCCACAAAGAUGGCACUUAAUCAUAUGAAGUCAAGCAUUUGGUGAUGAUCACAUUAGAACUCUGUGGACACAUUUCCAGCCCGUAUUAUGUGAUGCAGGAGAUAUAGAAGAGGUCC